GAUGAACGCUAGCGGUAGGCUUAACACAUGCAAGUCGAACGGGAUUUGAGUAGCAAUACUUAAUGAGAGUGGCGCACGGGUGAGUUACGCGUAUGCAACCUACCUGUAACUGGAAAAUAGCCCCGGAAACGGGGAUUAAUGUUCCAUAAUGUUCAGGGAUCGCAUGGUUUUUGAACUAAAGCUCCGGCGGUUACAGAUGGGCAUGCGUGACAUUAGCUUGUUGGUGAGGUAACGGCUCACCAAGGCUAUGAUGUCUAGGGGGUCUUAAAGGAUGAUCCCCCACACUGGUACUGAGACACGGACCAGACUCCUACGGGAGGCAGCAGUGAGGAAUAUUGGUCAAUGGGCGGAAGCCUGAACCAGCCAUCCCGCGUGCAGGAAGAAGGCGCUAAGCGUUGUAAACUGCUUUUGCAGGGGAAGAAACUUCCGGUUGCGACCGGGACUGGCGGUACCCUGUGAAUAAGCAUCGGCUAACUCCGUG
rnacentral:rRNA from 1 species